GUCAGUAAUUUCUCCCCUAGCAAGAAUGAGGAAGAUGAAGAGCUCGGGUAUCUGAGGGCUGGUGUGUCUGCAUGCGUGUGUGUUUUGGGGGCCGACUGAAGGAAGAGAAGGCUGGAGAGAGGGAACAUGGGUCUGAGGGCACAUCGCUAAGGGGUCAAGAGGCCUAAAGGAGGAGUCUAAGGCUCUCCAUCGAACUUGGACUUGGUCUACAUUAGACUUUAACCUCCAUGAGGCUUGGACUUUCAGGCUUCCUCCCUCACACCGCGGGCAGGUGAGGCGUCUGCUACAGGCCUGGUCUCGCAGAGGGGGCCCAGCGCCCCCCGCCGCCGCCUUCUCCUGGAGUCUGUGUGACAGAAUGGGACCUGUGGGAAAGCAGCACGUCAGCACCCAGCCCCGCUUGCGCGCCAGCAGCUAAUUAAAGCCAGGAAGGUGAUGGCGAUUUUCAACUCAUUCCCGUUACAAACAGCCGACCUUCCUACCGAGUUCAAGUACCUUCUGCCUGGCCUGGAAGAACAAUAUCUCUCUGUCUCCCUCUUCCACUGGCCCUCACCUGCCUUCCCCUGAACAUGCAUUUUGCCUGACAGGAGACAGAGGCAGUUGAUGCUUGCAGCUUGGUCCAGGAGGCCAGCAGGACCAGAGAGAAGACCACAGCGACACAUGGGGAUGGCUGUCCCACAGGCAGAAAUGAGCAGCCGGGAGGAAGCCCAGGCAGCCAGCCACCCAGCUCCCUCCACAUCGUGGCCCUAGAACGGAGUCUUGAAGAAUAAGAAGCCACAGCUUGUCAGGGAAUCAGGCUGGAAAAAUGUUAUGAGACUGAGUAAGACCAGAGUUUCUGGGUCAUUGGUGAGACUGGAUUUCAUAGAAGAGUCUUUGCUACAGCAAAACCUCUCUUCAAGCAAUACACUAUUCAAGCUGCUGGAGGCUAGAUUGACCAGAAAAAUGGGGCCAAUAUCAUGAUUCCUCAGCAGUGCCUGGAGAAGACCAGGAGAGGAAGCAGAAGACCCUCCUCAAAGAAGCAGCCUUCACCUCCAGACCUCCCAGCGGGACUUAGACAAUGGGGUUAGGCAGUCACAUGUCUGCACGUGGAAACUUUCUGGGACUGUGCUUGGAUCCUGGCUCUGCCUUUUACUAGCCAUGUGACCUUGGGAAAAUCACUUGACUUCUCCGUGCAGGAUUCCUCAUCUGUAAAAAUGGUCUAAGAUUAGGAGCCACCUCAAGGUUGUUGUAGGAAUUAAAUUAAUUCAUGUUUAUAAAGUGCUUUGAACAGCGUUUGGCACAUGGUAAGUGCUAUGUGGUAAGUGCUGUCUAUUGAUUACAUAAAUAAAAGUGAUCACCAUUAGACUUUC
rnacentral:lncRNA from 1 species